AGUUAGCUGGGAUUAGGGUUUAUUUGCGGUGUUUUUGGAAGGAGUGCGAGGAGAAAGUAUAGUGAAUGAGGGCGUCGAGGAUGUGAGUAUCAGGGCCAGAAACUGAAAUGGCCGCAGGAUUACACUACGCACUAGAUUGUCUGUUAAUCGAGAUUUCGUGUUGACAUAUUUUCUGCAAGUGUGAACAGUGGUAAAUGCAAGGAUGGUGGAGCUGCAGAGGGAACCCCAAAGUAUUGUACUGGGGCGUGGGUUGCAUUUGGAAAUGUACGCUGGCAGUGCCUCCUUCUCAUCGCGAUAAGAUCAUGGCAGAGGGGGAGGAUUUAGGCGAGAAGGCUAACGAUAAUGAGGAGAUGUUGGAGCCGGCGAGGGCUGGUCUAUCUUUUACCUUACACACCCAUAUUUCAUCCGUGAUGAUGAUCGCCUUUUGGUAGACAUGGAGAUCUAGAGUUGUCAGAGCUUUUCGCAGCCCAUCAUAUUUCUAUAAAUAUGAUUCUAACGUACUCACAUGACUCAGGAAAAAUGCAGGGUUACAGAGGAAAGGCAGCGGCAAUCGCAGGAAGAAAAGUGUAGUGUGCAUUGUUCCAGGUCACGAAGUAGGACAGCCCGAACAACUAUUUUCGAGGUAUUACUCUUGGGUCUACUAAUUGUUUGUUUGUUUCGUCAUUAUUAAAUGUACAGUGCAUAUGUUGAUUUCUAGAUGGAUAGGUUGUUGAACGAGUAUGGGUAAUCGUGUGGUUAGUUAUAAUUUAGUCGUGAAUUGACCAACAUUGAUUAUUUUUUGCAAAGUGGAUGUUUAGUACAAUGAGUAACUAGCAAACAGGAUGAGAUUGUCGUUAGUUAAAUUCAUGCUACUAUUGGAACAUUUGAACUAAAUAGCCCUGUUGAUUAAUUUCUGCGAUUCCUGCGUGAAUUAAUUGUAGUUCUUAAUUUCUUUUUUUGCAUUAUCAAAGGCUGAGCCUUUCAAGAGGAAAAGAACGUAAACGAGCGCGCCUUGGCUCUUACUUGAAACUUGCAUAGAAUGGAAUUUGUGACAGUAUUUAAUGCUAUAUGUCCACUCUCAAAAGUAUACUCUGCCUAAGAACUGUCAUUUUCAUUUUGACAAUGACUUCUCCCGCGAGCAAGAGAAAAGCAUGGAUGAAUUGGGACUCACGGAAUGGCAGUGUCGAUGUUGCAAGAUAGUUUUUCGAAGUCGAGAAUUCUUGGACACCCAUUUUGAUAACCGCCACUCUGAGAAGCUUGACACGGUGGUGUUCUGUUGGUGUGCAUCGGAAUUUCUAUUUAUUAGCUUCGUGCUUAAAGCUUCAUUAGUCUAACAUUUUCAUUGCAUAAUGGGAGGCUCUUUUUCAUGAUCGUUGCUGUUCCUCCAAUUUUUUAACGUCUAUUUACGAACAUGGUUGUCGUUGCAAUGAAAGCACUUAUUAAGUUCACUUUCACUUGUGCAGCGUUCAAAUAGGUGUCUAGCAGAUAUUUGUGCAUUGCGACUAUUUUAACAGUUUGUCAUCGCAACCAAAGAAGCAAGCAACUUGCAAACCAGCUGUAAUGGAAAAGAAUCGUCAUUCAUGUGAGGUAUUGGCAAAUACGUGCCUCAGUUGAACAAAGUCAAGUUGCUCAAAGAUAAAACGAUGCGAAGCUUCUUACGCUUGAGAUUUAUAUUAUUGAGAUUCUUGUGAGUCUUUGUCCCUCAUGUGUAGCUCACUAUGUCGUAUUGGAUUAUAAUCAUGGAUGGUAAAUGUUGGUCAAACGGAGUAACUUACAAUGUCAAGCAGUCAAACCUUGACACUGCUUGCAACUCUUUAGUCACGUUUUUCUCGUGUUCAUUUUCGACUAUGGAAUUUGUCUCAGAUUUCUUUAAGCGGCAGUUUUGCGAUGCUCAUACUGUUGAUUAAGGGCUCAAUCGACACAGUUUCUUUGUAUUUU